rnacentral:rRNA from 1 species
GUGGGGAAUAUUGCACAAUGGGGGAAACCCUGAUGCAGCGACGCCGCGUGAGUGAAGAAGUAUUUCGGUACGUAAAGCUCUAUCAGCAAGGAAGAAAAUGACGGUACUUGACUAAGAAGCCCCGGCUAACUACGUGCCAGCAGCCGCGGUAAUACGUAGGGGGCAAGCGUUAUCCGGAUUUACUGGGUGUAAAGGGAGCGUAGACGGCAUGGUAAGUCAGAUGUGAAAGCCCGGGGCUCAACCCCGGGACUGCAUUUGAAACUAUCAGACUAGAGUGCAGGAGAGGUAAGUGGAAUUCCUAGUGUAGCGGUGAAAUGCGUAGAUAUUAGGAGGAACACCAGUGGCGAAGGCGGCUUACUGGACUGUAACUGACGUUGAGGCUCGAAAGCGUGGGGAGCAAACAGGAUUAGAAACCCUGGUAGUCC